GCUUACGGCCAUACCAGCCUGAAUGCUCCUGAUCUCGUCAGAUUUCGGAAGCUAAGCAGGGUCGGGCCUGGUUAGUACUUGGAUGAGAGACUUCCUGGGAAUACCAGGUGCUGUAAGCA
rnacentral:rRNA from 1 species